rnacentral:tRNA from 1 species
UUUAAUAUGGCAGAUUAUAGUGCAAUGGAUUUAAACUCCAUACAUAAAGAAAUUUCCCAAUCUUUUAUUAAAU